AUUCAACAGUCGCAGAUCAUCUCAGUGCACCAUUGCGAUUCAUUCCCUGCCAGUGAUCCCAGCCACCGUGGUCUACCUGAUCUUUUCAGUCUCCAGUCAAGCUGCCUCCACUUCUCUGCCUGCCACAAUACCUGAGCUGUCUCCAGAAUACUCUCUCCACCACUUCUGCCCUCCAAGCGUCAAGUUGGGUUCAUUGUUGAGGUCUUGUCCUCAUAAGACUCAGAAUCAGAUCACUUUAUACUGACUGGAAAACGUGUUGAGAAGCAAUGAUUCAACAGUCGCAGAUCAUCUCAGUGCACCAUUGCGAUUCAUUCCCUGCCAGUGAUCCCAGCCACCGUGGUCUACCUGAUCUUUUCAGUCUCCAGUCAAGCUGCCUCCACUUCUCUGCCUGCCACAAUACCUGAGCUGUCUCCAGAAUACUCUCUCCACCACUUCUGCCCUCCAAGCCCAGCCGUUCUCCACGGGCCGCAUCGGAAAUCCUGCCAC